rnacentral:lncRNA from 1 species
CAAAACAGUUUUGGGACAGAGUGCGUUAGCUUGAAUCAAAGAAAUUCAAAGGGCAGAUUCAGAAGUUAAUUUUUCUUGAACCCAAAGAAAUUGAAAGAGCAGAUUGAGAAGUGAAAGCAAUUAGAAAGAAGUGAGAUAUUGCAGUGAUAAAGGCCUGAAAGAUCACAGAGAAAUCAAAUUCAGACGAGUGACACUGCAGAAUUUGAUUUCGCAAGCUUAUGAAAAACGAUUGAUUGGACCGUAGGGUUAUCUGGAUCCAUUCAAGAAGCUGAACUUGCACUUUACAAUUCUUCAAAUUUCAAAAAAACAAACUAAACCUAAAAACAGAGAGCAAUGCAGAGAU